UGUCUCCCAACUUCAUAAUUGCAUUGAUGUCAGUGGAGUCAUGUUUGUAACUUUCCCUAUGUUUGACAGCCACACUUCAGGAUAGUCAGACAGGGCAGACGGAGAAUCUUCAGAAGAAGAUUGAGGGUCUUUACCUCAGUGUGAAACAGAGGAAACACUACCUCUACCGUUUGAUAGUUACUUUUGUCCAUAGCUGUGCCACAGCUGUGUGGUUGCGCCCCGACAGUGACAAGUGGCAAGCAGAACAUCCUGAUUGGAAUAAAAAAGCUGCCACAACCUGUCCGUUCCUGCUCUGAACUGCUCCGGGUGUCUGAGACAUUGGACAAUGGGGCUGUGCGAACCUGUAAAGAGUGGCUACUGGCCAGCCACCGUGACUCACCACACCAUCUUCACAGUGGACCUCUUCAAGUCCUUUGAAGACAUGAAGGUGUUGGCCCCAGGAUUCUCCCGUCAAGCCUUUGUGGGAAUUAUUCAUCGAAGAACAAAGCACUUUGGCAGGAGUGGAAAGAUAUGUGGUGACACAUUCCAGAAGGCAUUCUUUGAGUGGACUUACGGCACAGCUUGAAACAGACAAGUUUUGUGUAAGCGAUCUCCUCCAUUGUCCUGCCUGGAUAGGAUGGGAAUCACAAGCAAUAAUGCCUCCAUAAAGCCUCAAGGUUUGUACUACCUUCUUAUGUGUUGGAUGUUGUGUUCAGGGAAUAAUUAUACCUUCUUAAAGUGCAUGCUGUUCUUCUUUUUGUAAUAAAGUAUAUGUUUG